GACGAACGCUGGCGGCGUGCUUAACACAUGCAAGUCGAACGGAAAGGCCCUGCUUUUGUGGGGUGCUCGAGUGGCGAACGGGUGAGUAACACGUGAGUAACCUGCCCUUGACUUUGGGAUAACUUCAGGAAACUGGGGCUAAUACCGGAUAGGAGCUCCUGCUGCAUGGUGGGGGUUGGAAAGUUUCGGCGGUUGGGGAUGGACUCGCGGCUUAUCAGCUUGUUGGUGGGGUAGUGGCUUACCAAGGCUUUGACGGGUAGCCGGCCUGAGAGGGUGACCGGCCACAGUGGGACGGAGAUACGGCCCAGACUCCGAGGGGAGGCAGCAGGGGGGAAGAUGGCACAAUGGGCGGAAGCCUGAUGCAGCAACGCCGCGGGCGGGAGGACGGCCUUCGGGUUGUAAACCGCUUUCGCCUGUGACGAAGCGUGAGUGACGGUAAUGGGUAAAGAAGCACCGGCUAGCUACGUG
rnacentral:rRNA from 1 species